UACGUAGGCAGCAAGCGUUGUUCGGAAUUACUGGGCGUAAAGAGUGUGUAGGCGGUGUUCUAAGUCUGUUGUGAAAUCUCCCGGCUUAACUGGGAGGGUGCGGCGGAAACUGGAAUGCUAGAGGAUGGGAGAGGUAAGCGGAAUUCCUGGUGUAGCGGUGAAAUGCGUAGAUAUCGUAAGGAAGACCAGUGGCGAAGGCGGGUCUCUGGACAGUUCCUGACGCUGAGGCGCGAAAGCUAGGGGAGCAAACGGG
rnacentral:rRNA from 1 species